rnacentral:rRNA from 1 species
UACGUAGGGCGCAAGCGUUGUCCGGAAUUAUUGGGCGUAAAGAGCUCGUAGGCGGCUUGUCACGUCGGAUGUGAAAGCUCGGGGCUUAACCCCGAGUCUGCAUUCGAUACGGGCUAGCUAGAGUGUGGUAGGGGAGAUCGGAAUUCCUGGUGUAGCGGUGAAAUGCGCAGAUAUCAGGAGGAACACCGAUGGCGAAGGCAGGUCACUGGGCCGCAACUGACGCUGAGGAGCGAAAGCAUGGGGAGCGAACAGG